rnacentral:tRNA from 1 species
GGAUACACCCAACCUCUGCUA